CUACUGGACUGACUGAAAGUGCUUGGCUUACACAAUCACAAAGGAUGAAUUCAAGGCUUACAAGACUUAAGCAGCCUACAACCAGUUCCUAGAUGGCUGGGUUCAAGAUGUUAUGGCUUAUAAACCACACAACUACCCAAAUACUGUUGUACUAGAAAAGGUUCUUCACUCUCAGCGGUUAGCAGAAAAGGUAUUGCAGCCCUGGAUAGUAAUAAGUCAAGAUGGUAUUAUUCUAUCAGCCCAAUGUUCUUGUAUAGCUGGACUUGGCGAGUCUGCACUCAUGUGGCAGCCACUUUAUUUAUGCUGGAAGCCAACACCAGAGUAAAAGAGAGUAAUAAAGACAGUUACAGGCGUGUCAUCUUACUGGACGAAUCCAUCAAAGCUUAAAAAAGUUUUGUCAACUAAGGUUUCUCAGAUUGAUUUCACCUCAUCAAAAACAAAAAAAAAAGUUAAAUUUGAUUCUCUUGUGGACAACAUCGCUUCUAAAAAUAUAAAUUCAAAGGCUAUUAAAUCCAGAGAAACUAUAAAGCUUAGUAUACAUUCUUUUAAUUCAUUUAUUGAAAGUAAUGAGAUAACACCUUGAGGUGUUAUUCCAAUCAGAUAUUUUACUGUGUUGUUGAAAGAAUAAGUUUGUGCCUGUGCUUUAAUGCUGAUAGGUCUCUCAAUGAAAAUUUUAAAACAGGCAUUUAUUACUUGGAUGUCAAACAUUUUACUGUCACUUUCCUGCCAUAAGUAUAAAUAAAUUCUUUGGGCAUUGUCUUUCCGAGACUCUCCUUAUUGGGCCAGAAAAUCAAAUCGAACAUGUUGACAUACAUAAGAUAUAAAACGUUUAUGAAGAUCUUAGAGGCAGUUGUGGGAUGAAUUUUAAACAUAUCAGCUAAUACAUAGGCAGGUUUACCUAGAAUAUUUGUAAUAAUGUGUGUUAAAAAAAUAAUUUGUGUACAUUCAUAAUUAAGGUAGUUAAAUUAAAUUAUAUAUAUGUGUAAAUGUGAGACAGUGCCUGUAUUAUAUCCAAGCUAUCCAAUGAGAAAUAUUUAUAUAAUUUAAUAUAUAGAUAUAUUUAUUCAAAUCAUAUAAUGCAUUCAUUUAUUUGUGGCAAUAAAAGAA